rnacentral:tRNA from 1 species
GGGCGUAUAGCUCAGUUGGUUAGAGCGCAUGCAUGACACGCAUGAGGUCGUGGGUUCAAUUCCCUCUACGCCCACCA